GUGUCUUUAAAUCUUAAAAGUUUUAACAUAUACUUUAAAUACAAUGUAUUUAAAAAUCUCACUUAAUAUUUAAGUGGAAUAUUUAAUUUAAAUAUCUAUGUUUUAAAAUAAAAAUAGGAGUUGAGUAUAUGUCAAUGAGUAGGUAACCAAGCGACACGAAAUAUCGAAAAGAUAUCUAGAGUUCAAAAUAUGGUCUUCAAAAAAGACAUAUGUCUAUAGAAUGUGUAAAGCUUUUUCUCACCCAAAGCCUCUUAAAAUUUUGAACUGAUCAAAAAGAUUAUCGAAAAUGUAAUUACUUGAAUGCCAAAAAAAACCAAAAAUAACAUUGAGAUACAACAAAAGGUCAUAGUGAUUCAAAUGUAAAGUUUUGCAUGAGAACAUUGUACCAUGUACAUCAACUUUAUAUCACUUCUUUUCCAAUUUAUACGGACUUUUACAAUUAUUCAACCGGCGCAUAUGUGAUUUAUUUUGCACGCUCUUUAUUGUUAAACGGAAAGAAGGAGUACAUGUUGGAGAUUGUGCACAUACGCAAGAUUUUAAUUUCAAAUGUUCUAUUGCAAUAGAUAUGUUUUAUUUGCCAAAUCUGAUAAAUUCCAUUUCGAAAAUUUCCCGCCAAAUACUGCAUUAUAUUUGUACUUAGUUAUGUAUAUGUAUGAAAAGGCUAUAGCUAUUUGAAAAUGUUGGAAGUGAAUGAAAAAGUUGAAGACAGAAAUUUCAUAAUAUUCUUUUUAACGUUAUUUAAUGCUGAUGCAAGCUGUACAUUAUAUUUCAGGACCAAUGUUGACAUUUGUCUCUAGAGGAGUUUUGUCUCUUUGGAUUUCUGGCUCAUUGACAUAUGGCUUUUGUCAUCUUUCAAUCCUAUUUUACACUGUUGUGAAGUGUUUAUUUGUGCUUUAAAAUUCAACAUUAUUUCUCUUUUCGUCCUUGGUAAAGCAAGAUCUUCAACUGCUGAAGGAUUUUUGUUUGUAAUUGUACAUUUAUAUCUAAGGAAGAUUAUGCAAAUAUUACAACCAAACGACAAAACAGAAACUAAAUCUUUCUUCGGAUUUUAGAACAGUAGGAAUGUGUCUUUUAUGUUGAUAUACAAAUAUUUUUAAAUAAAAAUAGUAAAAUAUUCAAAUUACAUACAAGAGAACAUCAUCAAAUUUAAACAAUUUGCAACCACAACAAGCGCAUAACCAUACAAUAGUGCUAAUUAAAAACAUCUAAAAAAACAUUUAAAAAUUCUAAUUAUUAAUAAUAAAUAUAGAAAUCUAUACGAUUCUAAAAGGGGAAUUAGCUGUCAAAUUUGUGUCCACUGAUUUGACACCAAUUCUGAUAUUUGAUUUAUAACUUACUUAUAUGUAUAUUCAAAAUUUAAAAAAAUCUAAAAUAAACAGGUUACGAUGAUUGAAGUCGAUAAUUUUUAUGAGCAUUUCAUGUUUAUUUAGUCUAGAUGCCAUCUAAUAAACCAUCGAGGUGACAUAUGAAGACUGCCGAUGGUCAUAUAACCGGAUUUAAACAUAUUAUAGAUGUUUGGGACCAUUUAUAGCUUGCUGGUAGGUGUGAGACAAGGCUCCACGUUGAAGGCCGUACCUUGACCUAUAAUGGUUUACUUUUUAUAGAUUGUUUCUUGGAUGGAGAGUUGUCUUAUUGGCACUCAUACCACAUCUUCCUAUAUCUAUAACUAUAUAGCGAACACAUGCUAUAUAGUCUUUUUGAUUUCAUAUUAUAGGUCUAUAAUAUAUGUGAAUCAUCGUUGUUAUAAGCCUGAUACCUUUGACAACUAAUUAAUAGUAUAAGAAUGAUUUUUUUUUGUGGAUCGAAUAAGUCAACCAAAUAAUUCAUCCUGGUUUCACCUUCAAUGUUGAAAUUCUUUUCCUAUUAAUAUCAAAAUUCACCUAAUAUUUAUUUUUUUAGAUUCCGUAGCUAAUGCCCCUUUAACACAACAUUAAACAGUUUUAACUAUGUUAAAAUUCAAUUGAAUCAACUCAACAAAUAAGGGAGACAUUGGUUAAUAAAAAUAUAAAGGAGUAGGUCCAGUAAGACCCCUUUUUGGCCCCAAAAUAUAGCAGUUUUACAAAAUUGUUAAAAUGUAAACUUUUAGUCAUUUAUUGGAUAGUAGAAAGGUUCUGUUACAUUAAUAUGGGCUCUUUUUGACAAU
rnacentral:lncRNA from 1 species